rnacentral:rRNA from 1 species
UACGGGGGGGGCAAGCGUUGUUCGGAAUUACUGGGCGUAAAGGGCGCGUAGGCGGCCUGCUAAGUCGAACGUGAAAUCCCUGGGCUCAACCCAGGAACUGCGUCCGAUACUGGUUGGCUUGAAUCCGGGAGAGGGAUGUGGAAUUCCAGGUGUAGCGGUGAAAUGCGUAGAUAUCUGGAGGAACACCGGUGGCGAAGGCGACAUCCUGGACCGGUAUUGACGCUGAGGCGCGAAAGCGUGGGGAGCGAACAGG